rnacentral:lncRNA from 1 species
GUGAGCCUCUUGAUGGGAGUGCUGGGAACCAAACUUAAGUCCUCUGCAAGAGCAGCAAGCCUUCUUAGAGGCUGAGCCACUUCUCUAGUGGGACAUUGUUUUUUGACGUGUCUCUUACUGGCCUGGAACUCCCCCAAAAGGCAGGGCUGGCUGGUCAUCAAGUAUCAAGAAUCUUCCUGUCUCUGUCUUUCCAGCUCUGAGAAUAUAAGCCUUUUAAAAAUUUGGACUCUGAGGAUUUAACUUCAGGUCCUCAGCCUGCUAUCAGCAUUAGCCCCCUACUCCUUGGGAUCGGUUUUUAUUCUUCAUUUUCCUGUGUUCUUGGCUCUAAUGUCCCUUUUUGUAGAUGGCUCUGAGUGCCAGGUCACAUGUUGGACGCCAAAAUGUAAAUGGAGUUCUUAAUUGGUCUAGAGAAUAAAAAGCCAGAGUCAGAUAGAGGGAAAUGCUGAGAGAUCAGAGAGAAGGAGCAAGCCACAGGCCACCUUACCUCCUUAGUGUCUCAGCAGACAAGAGAGUGAUUUCCUGUUCCUCCCUGUUUAUAUCCUGCUUCUGCCCAACUACUUCACUUCCUGUCUGUCCAUACAGACCUCCAGACCUCUAUGGUUAGCUGGUGGCAAGCUCCAGUCUCUGAACCCCCAGAGACAAGCUUUAUUUGUACAAGCAAGAUAUUACCACAUGCCCAGGAUCAUCUGGAAGGUCUUGCACAUACUGGCAACAGGAAGAAGCUUGCUGUAGAAUGGGUUGGCGCUAAAGACCAGGUAGCUCCAGAAGGGGGUGAUUUUGGGAGAGGGGUGUCCCAGCAGGAGGUGCUUCUAGGAGAGGGGUGCCCCAGGAGGGAGCUCCAACAGACCCCUGGCGUGUUGUGACAGGGAAAGGCACGGGUUAGCCAAACCAGUCACCCAUAGUGAGUCAGGCUUCUGGCAGACAGCCCCUAGCCCAGGGCGUCUGUGACUCAGCUACUGACUGACAGGCUGUGGACCCACAGUGAAAGUGCUGGGAAAGGGUGGCACUGAGGGUGGCCCGCCCUGGGUGCCCCAAUAGUUCAAUGCACCUCCUUAUUUCUUCCCAUCCUCCAUCAUGCCCCACUAACCUCCCAACAUCCCAUGGGUGGGAGAUCUGUGCCAAGGAUCAAGGAUUUCCUGUCACUCAGCUAGACCCAGGCUACAGCUCAGAGGGACCCUAAGAGCUCAACAGGGGCAGUCCCAGCUCAAUACCUCCAUGUCUUCCUCUCCCUUUCCAAGUAUAUUCCCUUUCUCUGGACCACAGGGCAGAAAAUAGUACUCACUAACCAAUCACAAAGCCUAGUCCCUUUCCACAACCUAUCAGAAUCUUCCUAUUGUCAAGGGAGGGAGAAUUGGACACUACGUGGAAAGGCUGUGACUUAAAGAGUAUAGGAGAUCCUUUAAAAGGGAGAUGGUGGUAGAAUAGGGUUCUCCAUAAGAGAGGAUCUAGGGCAGUCAUUCCCCCACCCUGGGAAAGCAUCUUGCUCCUCCUUUGGAGCAGAUAAAUCACAUGGCCAGGGAGUGCUCUGGGCACACAGGGAUCCUCCAGAGAUGGUGCUGCUGGAAUAACAUGGAAGAACUCAGAAGGACCAGGAAUCAGUGUGGGAGGAAGACCAAGGGCUAUGGGAAAGCCUGAUGUGGAAGGUGACUGUCUUCUUUAGCAGACUGCCCUUCUCCAUCCAGGAGCCAUUACCCUGGUCUCCUGGGCACUGGACUAGUUUUAGGUGAGAACUGGAGGAGGACGCCCAGGAGGGAUUCACUUUUAGAAAAGUCAGUCUUUAGUUCCCAUUCCCUUGUCUUGGUUCAGCCACAAACUGUCCACCUUGCACUAGCUGUCACAUAAACAUCCCACCCAGGGUGAGAU